rnacentral:rRNA from 1 species
AUUGUCACUGAGUCGAGUUGUUUGGGAUUGCAGCUCCAAUUGUACGGUGGUAAAUUCCAUCUCAAGCUAAAUAUUGGCCGGGGACCGAUAGCGAACAAGUACCGUGAGGGAAAGAUGCAAAGAACUUUGAAAAGAGAGUGAAAGAGUACCUGAAAUUGCUGAAAAGGAAGCGAACGAAGCUAGUGAAAGCUGCGUCAUACUUUCCAACUUGCUUGCAACUUGGACGCUGUGGCCAGCCCAGUUGGGCUUGAUUGCAACAGGUGAAAGCAGGUAAAGAAAAGAUUCCAUUUUCUCUCGCCCUUGUUACAUUUAUUGCAUUKGAGCUGAACAAAAUAGCUUUGUUUGCCCGGU